rnacentral:rRNA from 1 species
GAUGAACGCUAGCUACAGGCUUAACACAUGCAAGUCGAGGGGAAACGCCAUCGAAAGCUUGCUUUUGAUGGGCGUCGACCGGCGCACGGGUGAGUAACGCGUAUCCAACCUGCCCAUCACUUGGGAAUAACCUUGCGAAAGUAAGACUAAUACCCAAUGACAUCCCACGAAGACAUCUGAAUGGGAUUAAAGAUUUAUCGGUGAUGGAUGGGGAUGCGUCUGAUUAGCUUGUUGGCGGGGUAACGGCCCACCAAGGCAACGAUCAGUAGGGGUUCUGAGAGGAAGGUCCCCCACAUUGGAACUGAGACACGGUCCAAACUCCUACGGGAGGCAGCAGUGAGGAAUAUUGGUCAAUGGGCGAGAGCCUGAACCAGCCAAGUAGCGUGCAGGAGGACGGCCCUAUGGGUUGUAAACUGCUUUUAUAAGGGAAUAAAGUGGGUCUCGUGAGACUUUUUGCAUGUACCUUAUGAAUAAGGACCGGCUAAUUCCGUG